rnacentral:rRNA from 1 species
AGUGAACGCUGGCGGUAGGCCUAACACAUGCAAGUCGAACGGCAGCACAGUAAGAGCUUGCUCUUACGGGUGGCGAGUGGCGGACGGGUGAGGAAUACAUCGGAAUCUACUUUUUCGUGGGGGAUAACGUAGGGAAACUUACGCUAAUACCGCAUACGACCUACGGGUGAAAGCAGGGGAUCUUCGGACCUUGCGCGAUUGAAUGAGCCGAUGUCGGAUUAGCUAGUUGGCGGGGUAAAGGCCCACCAAGGCGACGAUCCGUAGCUGGUCUGAGAGGAUGAUCAGCCACACUGGAACUGAGACGCGGUCCAGACUCCUACGGGAGGCAGCAGUGGGGAAUAUUGGACAAUGGGCGCAAGCCUGAUCCAGCCAUACCGCGUGGGUGAAGAAGGCCUUCGGGUUGUAAAGCCCUUUUGUUGGGAAAGAAAGGCAGCAGGUUAAUACCCCGCUGUUCUGACGGUACCCAAAGAAUAAGCACCGGCUAACUUCGUG